UACAGCCAUAUCUCAUUGAAACACUGGUUCCCAUAUGAUUACUGAAGUUAAGCAAUGUCAAGCCUGGUUAGUACCUAGAUGGGUGACUGCUUGAUAAUACCAAGUUCUGUAA